AUGAACGUUGGCGGCGUGGAUUAGGCAUGCAAGUCGAGCGAUAUCCCCCGCAAGGGGGUGAAAGCGGCGAAAGGGACAGUAACACGUAGAUUACCUACCCUCGGGCCCGGGAUAGCUGCGGGAAACUGCAGGUAAUACCGGAUAACAUCUCCAGAUCAAAGGUGUGAUUCCACCUGAGGAUGGGUCUGCGUCCUAUUAGCUUGUUGGUGGGGUAACGGCCUACCAAGGCAAUGAUGGGUAGUGGGUGUGAGAGCACGACCCGCGUCACUGGGACUGAGACACUGCCCAGACACCUACGGGUGGCUGCAGUCGAGGAUCUUCGGCAAUGGGCGCAAGCCUGACCGAGCGACGCCGCGUGCGGGAUGAAGGCCUUCGGGUUGUAAACCGCUGUCAGAGGGGAUGAAAUGCGUAAGGGUUCUCCCUUACGUUUGACAUAUCCUCAGAGGAAGUACGGGCUAAGUUCGU
rnacentral:rRNA from 1 species